rnacentral:rRNA from 1 species
UCGAGAAUUUUUCACAAUGGGGGAAACCCUGAUGGAGCGACGCCGCGUGGAGGAUGAAGGUCUUCGGGUUGUAAACUCCUGUCAUGCGGGAACAAGAAAGUGAUAGUACCGCAAGAGGAAGAGACGGCUAACU